CUGCCUUGUUGUGAACAGCCUUAUAGAAAGCCCUAUGUAGAGAAGAGCUGAGUCUUCCUGCCAUUAAGUGAUGGCUUACACCUUAUAUGCCAAUCUUUUACCCCCAGCCAAGUCUUCAGGUGACCGAAGCCCUGGCCCACAGCUCAACUGCAACCUCAUGAGAGACUCUGAUCCAGAACCAGCAGGAUAAGUUGUUCCCAGAUUCCUGGCCUCAAACUGAGGAGACAAUAAAUGUGGACCUUUACCAUUGAGCCACCAGGAGAGUCAGAAUUCCGAUGCUUUAAGAGCAGUACAUCUCAACCCAGGCUGGAUGCACAUCAGAAUUACCUGGAGUUAAAGAAAAAUGAUGCCAGUCCUGGCUGCACCCAGCAACUCUUGGUGUAACUGGUGAGUAGCUCUAGCCUUGAUGCUUCUCAGAGUCUUCCUAAGUGGUCCUAGUGGAUAGUCAGUGCUGAGAACCCCUGAUUUAGAGCAGUAAGCUCCGAAGAAUUGCU
ensembl:lncRNA